AUUGAACGCUGGCGGCAUGCUUUACACAUGCAAGUCGAACGGUAACAGGCCUUCGGGUGCUGACGAGUGGCGAACGGGUGAGUAAUGCAUCGGAACGUGCCCAGAGGUGGGGGAUAACGCAGCGAAAGCUGUGCUAAUACCGCAUGUGAUCUGAGGAUGAAAGCGGGGGACCAGGCAGCAAUGUUUGGCCUCGCGCCUUUGAAGCGGCCGAUGUCAGAUUAGGUAGUUGGUGGGGUAAAGGCCUACCAAGCCGACGAUCUGUAGCUGGUCUGAGAGGACGACCAGCCACACUGGGACUGAGACACGGCCCAGACUCCUACGGGAGGCAGCAGUGGGGAAUUUUGGACAAUGGGCGCAAGCCUGAUCCAGCAAUGCCGCGUGCGGGAAGAAGGCCUUCGGGUUGUAAACCGCUUUUGUACGGAACGAAAAGGCUCUGGCUAAUACCUGGGGCUGAUGACGGUACCGUAAGAAUAAGCACCGGCUAACUACGUG
rnacentral:rRNA from 1 species